rnacentral:lncRNA from 1 species
UUUUCAUGGACUACAUUGAUCGAUUUUCAAUUUCAGGAACCAUCUUGAUGGGGUAGGUCAAUUUCAAUGACCAUUUGUGAUAAAAACCCUAUAUAUAGGAAACCCUUAAGGGAAGAGAUCCCCAUUUUAUUAUAAAAAUAGGGAUUAGUUGUGGAGUUCACACCACAUCAAACUUUAACGAUCCUAACCGUCUACUUUUCAAGUUGCACCCCAUAGAUUAUACUUGCAAAGUAUUAGCCAAAUCGGAAAUGUUUAAGGCAUCUAAUUGAGUUCAAAGAAAUUAACGAAUACUUUGUUAUAUAAGAAACAAUGAAAUUUUAUCUUGAUAAUUAAAUAGGCAAAUUGUUUCGGAUUGAAUUGAAUUUUUGCAAG